rnacentral:SRP_RNA from 1 species
CGAAAGUGUUUCUGGACCGGGUGUGCAUC